AGGGAGAGUGCUGGAUCUUGGGCUGUGUCCCCCAGCGCCCUUGGCUCCAGGGCCUGCACCGCUGGAAUCGUGCUCCUGGGGCUGCGCAGCCCCCU
rnacentral:pre_miRNA from 1 species